UGCGGAGGAUCUUACUGAAUUCGUGGCCUUCGGGCCCGUCUUUCACCCCAUGUGUAUCUUCUCCACGUUGCUUCGGCGGGCCAGCCCCCCGGGGCGGUCGUCGGACGUGUUCCCUUCGGGGGUCACGUCCGGGCCCGCGCCCGCCGAAGACCCUUCUAAACUCUUGUCAUGAAUUGUCGUCUGAGUCUUAUAAAAAUUAAACAAAACUUUCAACAACGGAUCUCUUGGUUCUGGCAUCGAUGAAGAACGCAGCGAAACGCGAUAGGUAUUGUGAAUUGCAGAAUUUAGUGAAUCAUCGAAUCUUUGAACGCACAUUGCGCCCUUUGGUAUUCCGAAGGGCAUGCCUGUCCGAGCGUCAUUUCAACCCUCCAGCCCGGCUGGUGUGUUGGGCCUUCGUCCCCCGGGACGGGCCCCAAAGACAGGGACGGCGCCGCGUCCAGCCCCCGAGCGUAUGGGACUAUCGUCACUACUCGUGUGAGGCUGGCCGGCCCGGUCCAACCCCCCAUCUAUUUUUCCAGGUGGACCUCGGAUCAGGUAAGGAUACCCGCUGAACUUAAGCAUAUCAAUAAGCGGAGGAAAAGAAACCAACAGGGAUUGCCUCAGUAACGGCGAGUGAAGCGGCAACAGCUCAAAUUUGAAAUCUGGCUCCUUUUGGGGUCCGAGUUGUAAUUUGUAGAGGAUGCUUUGGGUACGGCCACGGUCUAAGUUCUCUGGAACGAGACGUCAUAGAGGGUGAGAAUCCCGUAUGGGACCGCCGGCCACACCCGUGUAAAGCUCCUUCGACGAGUCGAGUUGUUUGGGAAUGCAGCUCAAAAUGGGUGGUAAAUUUCAUCUAAAGCUAAAUAUUGGCCAGAGACCGAUAGCGCACAAGUAGAGUGAUCGAAAGAUGAAAAGCACUUUGAAAAGAGAGUUAAACAGCAUGUGAAAUUGUUGAAAGGGAAGCUCUUGCGACCAGACUCACCCACGGGGGUUCACCGGGCGUUCUCGCCCGGGCACUCCCCCGCGGUUGGGCCAGCAUCGGUUUGGGCGGUCGGUCAAAGGCCUCUGGAAUGUAUCAUCCCCCGGGAUGUCUUAUAGCCAGGGGUGCAAUGCGGCCUGCCGGAUCGAGGAACGCG
rnacentral:rRNA from 1 species